rnacentral:rRNA from 1 species
UACGGAGGGAGCUAGCGUUGUUCGGAAAUACUGGGCGUAAAGCGCACGUAGGCGGCGCAGCAAGUCAGGGGUGAAAUCCCGGGGCUCAACCUCGGAACUGCCCUUGAAACUGCAGUGCUAGAAUCUUGGAGAGGCGAGUGGAAUUCCGAGUGUAGAGGUGAAAUUCGUAGAUAUUCGGAAGAACACCAGUGGCGAAGGCGGCUCACUGGACCGGUAUUGACGCUGAGGUGCGAAAGCGUGGGGAGCAAACAGG